GGAGACGUGACUGAGUGGCCGAAAGUGCAUCCCUGCUAAGGAUGUGAUGGGGUAAACCCAUCCGUGGGUUCGAAUCCCACCGUCUCCGCC
rnacentral:tRNA from 1 species